GACGAACGCUGGCGGCGUGCUUAACACAUGCAAGUCGAACGGAAAGGCCCUGCUUUUGCGGGGUGCUCGAGUGGCGAACGGGGGAGUAACACGUGAGUAACCCGCCCUUGACUUUGGGAUAACUUCAGGAAACUGGGGCUAAUACCGGAUAGGAGCUCCUGCUGCAUGGUGGGGGUUGGAAAGUUUCGGCGGUUGGGGAUGGACUCGCGGCUUAUCAGCUUGUUGGUGGGGUAGUGGCUUACCAAGGCUUUGACGGGUAGCCGGCCUGAGAGGGUGACCGGCCACAUUGGGACUGAGAUACGGCCCAGACUCCUACGGGAGGCAGCAGUGGGGAAUAUUGCACAAUGGGCGGAAGCCUGAUGCAGCGACGCCGCGUGCGGGAUGACGGCCUUCGGGUUGUAAACCGCUUUCGCCUGUGACGAAGCGUGAGUGACGGUAAUGGGUAAAGAAGCACCGGCUAACUACGUG
rnacentral:rRNA from 1 species